AGUUCCCGUUCCUUUCCGCGGCCGACUGCGGUCUUGAGGGUGCUGGACUGCCGCGGGGUGCGUGGCGCUCGGGGGCGCCGGCUGACGGCGGCCUGGAGGGCGUCCUCGGCGGUGUCUGGACGCGCGCUUUGCCUCUUCUCUGCGACAGAUGCGCCAGAGUUUUAAGUUAACCCCCAGGUCUCACGUAUCCUAAGUGAUCUACCUAUAACCUAGAUGCUGCUUUACUUUUUCUAAGGGACUUUGAAGCUCUUCGUAAAACACCAGGGAAGAUAAAGCUCUA
rnacentral:lncRNA from 1 species